GUUCAUCAUAUCAACUUAAAAGAUGAUGAUACGUCAGUGUUGUGUUCACUACUUGUUUCUGCUGAAAACAAAUGGACAAAUCAGUUUGUGCAAGAAGAUGAACUGGACUUUUAGUGUCACAUGCCAAGUGUACAGGACUUAUAGAGAAGAUAACUUGCUAAAUUGCAAAUGAAACAUCAAGUGAAGUACAGUGGGCGCCUGACGCUGGGCAGCUCAUGUUCUUGAAAUAAUGGCGUUCGAGGAGUUGUAAGUUUGUAAAUAGGCAUAUUGAAACACUGAAUUAACAGCAUUUGACAAGCUCAGAACAGCUUAUUGUGAAGAAAAAUGCAGAUUAAAACCACACUUGGCUUGUGACAUUUUAGUGCCAGAAGACUUGAAAAACUCAUCCCACUUAUUUUCUGGCUUCAGUAACCUCACAGACACUACAGUCAUGUUUUUCUCUGUUUUUCUUUUAUGACAGCAAUCAGAAAACAUUUCACACACACACACACACACACACACACACACACACACACACAUCUGUCUCCCGUCCAACAUUUUUCAAAUCUUCUAAAGUGUUGUAUUAGACAGAAAUGGACUGCAAACCUUGUUAUUACAAACUUUUUUACAGAAAGUGAAGUGACCAUUGUCAGGCUUCUGUUUGUCUCCUGAUGAUAAAUGGAUCUUCGCCUCUUAGUAAACACAGCUCACAUUGUGAGUUUUAACAAUAAGUCCCUGAUUCUCUCCGGACCAGCGCUCACAUUGGAUGUGUAUCCUUGUCACGGCUCUGGGCUGUCGGCCUGGGACCGUUUGAUACGAGGAAGCCGCUCAACUGAACUACAAAACAAAUUAAUUUUUGUCACCGGAGUCGGGCCGAAAACUUCCCAAAGUUGAAUCACAGAUUUUUUUUUUUCCUUCCAGCAGGGGACCGUGAUACCACAGAGCCGGAGCUGCAGACGAGUGUCGAUUACAUCUGUUUUCUGUCCCUUCAAACGUGUCAAAUUAACCUGACGUGCAAGACGCCAGAAGUUACACAACCGUCUUGUCAUGCAGGCGUCAAGAAAAUGUCACAACACAAAAGAAGUUUGAUUCUAGUUAAAGCGCUGCUCUUUCUGGUUUUUUUCUCCACAAGGAUUAAAGAACUGAACACCGUCACGCUGCUGCCUUCAGACGCUCCUCGCUCACUGCAGAUGAACAAUGACGUUAUUAACGGCUGAAAGGAGUCGGUGCAGCUCCGCUAUACAUGACGACAUCACUCAACACAACACACUGCACUGUAAUUUUGUUUUACAGCCCUGUGUUGUACAUUCAUUCAUUCUGUGGUGGCCAAUAAAACUGGAAUACUUC